CCUACGGGAGGCAGCAGUGGGGAAUAUUGCACAAUGGGCGCAAGCCUGAUGCAGCCAUGCCGCGUGUAUGAAGAAGGCCUUCGGGUUGUAAAGUACUUUCAGCGAGGAGGAAGACGUUGUGGUUAAUAACCGCAGCGAUUGACGUUACUCGCAGAAGAAGCACCGGCUAACUCCGUGCCAGCAGCCGCGGUAAUACGGAGGGUGCAAGCGUUAAUCGGAAUUACUGGGCGUAAAGCGCACGCAGGCGGUCUGUCAAGUCGGAUGUGAAAUCUCCGGGCUCAACCUGGGAACUGCAUCCGAAACUGGCAGGCUAGAGUCUUGUAGAGGGGGGUAGAAUUCCAGGUGUAGCGGUGAAAUGCGUAGAGAUCUGGAGGAAUACCGGUGGCGAAGGCGGCCCCCUGGACAAAGACUGACGCUCAGGUGCGAAAGCGUGGGGAGCAAAUAGGAUUAGAUACCCUGGUAGUCCACGCCGUAAACGAUGUCGACUUGGAGGUUGUGCCCUUGAGGCGUGGCUUCCGGAGCUAACGCGUUAAUCCGACCGCCUGGGGAGUACGGCCGCAAGGUUAAAACUCAAAUGAAUUGACGGGGGCCCGCACAAGGGGUGGAGCAUGUGGUUUAAUUCGAUGCAACGGAAGAACCUUACCUACUCUUGACAUCCAGAGAACUAGCAGGAUGCUUUGGUGCCUUCGGGAACUCUGAGACAGGUGCUGCAUGGCUGUCGUCAGCUCGUGUUGUGAAAUGUUGGGUUAAGUCCCGCAACGAGCGCAACCCUU
rnacentral:rRNA from 1 species